rnacentral:rRNA from 1 species
UGAGGAAUAUUGGUCAAUGGACGCAAGUCUGAACCAGCCAUGCCGCGUGCAGGAUGACGGUCCUAUGGAUUGUAAACUGCUUUUGUACGAGAAGAAACACUCCUAUGUNUAGGAGCUUGACGGUAUCGUAAGAAUAAGGAUCGGCUAACUCCGUGCCAGCAGCCGCGGUAAUACGGAGGAUCCAAGCGUUAUCCGGAAUCAUUGGGUUUAAAGGGUCCGUAGGCGGUUUAGUAAGUCAGUGGUGAAAGCCCAUCGCUCAACGGUGGAACGGCCAUUGAUACUGCUGAACUUGAAUUACUGGGAAGUAACUAGAAUAUGUAGUGUAGCGGUGAAAUGCUUAGAUAUUACAUGGAAUACCAAUUGCGAAGGCAGGUUACUACCAGUUUAUUGACGCUGAUGGACGAAAGCGUGGGGAGCGAACAGGAUUAGAUACCCUGGUAGUCCACGCCGUAAACGAUGGAUACUAGCUGUUGGGNGCAAGUUCAGUGGCUAAGCGAAAGUGAUAAGUAUCCCACCUGGGGAGUACGAACGCAAGUUUG